GCCGCAGAAUAAAUGAAAUCUAAUCUGGGGCCCGUGCAUUGUGAUUAUAGGAUCGGAACUAUCGAUUCUUGUCCAGUCGUCGUCGAAACAACAACAACAACAACAACAAAAAUAAGGAAAACAACACCAAAGGCGAUGGUAAUAAACGCGAUAGAACGUGAGCGGGCGUCGGAGGCAGUGAUUAUCAGCUGACGGCGCGGGAGCAAGACGGAACCGCGACCCAAAGAGCAAAACUGAAAUAUUAUUCUGUUUACUCGGUAAUAACGUUUGUAGUGUAGAGUGUGGUAGAAGUAGAAGUAGUAGUGGUGGUGGC